AAAGGCCCUACUUGCAGGGUACUCGAGUGGCGAACGGGUGAGUAACACGUGGGUGAUCUGCCCUGCACUUCGGGAUAAGCCUGGGAAACUGGGUCUAAUACCGGAUAGGAGCCAUUUUUAGUGUGAUGGUUGGAAAGUUUUUUCGGUGUAGGAUGAGCUCGCGGCCUAUCAGCUUGUUGGUGGGGUAAUGGCCUACCAAGGCGGCGACGGGUAGCCGGCCUGAGAGGGUGGACGGCCACAUUGGGACUGAGAUACGGCCCAGACUCCUACGGGAGGCAGCAGUGGGGAAUAUUGCACAAUGGGCGCAAGCCUGAUGCAGCGACGCCGCGUGGGGGAUGACGGCCUUCGGGUUGUAAACUCCUUUCGCUAGGGACGAAGCUUUUUGUGACGGUACCUAGAUAAGAAGCACCGGCUAACUACGUGCCAGCAGCCGCGGUAAUACGUAGGGUGCGAGCGUUGUCCGGAAUUACAGGGCGUAAAGGGCUCGUAGGUGGUUUGUCGCGUCGUCUGUGAAAUUCCGGGGCUUAACUCCGGGCGUGCAGGCGAUACGGGCAUAACUUGAGUACUGUAGGGGUAACUGGAAUUCCUGGUGUAGCGGUGAAAUGCGCAGAUAUCAGGAGGAACACCGAUGGCGAAGGCAGGUUACUGGGCAGUUACUGACGCUGAGGAGCGAAA
rnacentral:rRNA from 1 species